rnacentral:rRNA from 1 species
UACGGGGGGGGGCAAGCGUUGUUUCGGAAUUACUGGGCGUAAAGGGCUCGUAGGUGGCCAACUAAGUCAGACGUGAAAUCCCCUCGGCUUAACCCGGGGAACUGCGUCUGAUACUGGAUGGCUUGAGUUUGGGAGAGGGAAGUGGAAUUCCUGGUGUAGCGUGAAAUGCGCAGAUAUCAGGGAGGAAACACCGGUGGCGAAGGCGGCUCUCUGGACCCGGUUUCUGACGCUCAGGCGCGAAAGCGUGGGGGGAG